AAGGAAGCCGGGGCCCCCUGUGCACACAGAUAAACGGCCACAGACGCUAACGCCUGGGAGCAGACACCCUGGCAGAGUGAGCCACCCCCCGCCCCCGCCCAGCCUAGCUGCUCCCAUGCUGAGAGGGGGCAGCAGUUCCAGAGCUGCCCCCACAGUGCCCCCAGCCAGGGAGGAGCACCAGCCUGCCAGGGCUGUGGGCAGCAGCGGGGGCAGGCAGGGAGCUGAGCGGGGAAGGCUACUGCAGCGUCUGCUUGAGCAAACGGGGAACCAUGCCUGUGCUAACCGGGCGCACUGCCAUCCAGGCUUUCCUCACCCCACACCCAGCACCAUACACACCCGUCCCGCAGCAAGCGCUUGCCGGAGGAAGGAGGUCUGCUUGGAGCCGCUGCUUUCCCCAGCUGGGGUCAGUGAACAGCCAGGCAGCUCUGGAGACUGUCCGGUUUGACCAAUGUACAUGGCAGAGGGGCAUUGCUGGCACAUGAUGGCAUAUAUCACAUUGGUGGAUGUGCAGGUGAACGAACCUCUGAUAGUGUGGCUGAUGUGAUUAGGCCCUGUGAUGGUGUCCCCUGAAUAGAUAUGUGGACACAGCUGGCAACAGGCUUUGUUGGUAUAAAAAGAAAAGGAGGACUUGUGGUACCUUAGAGACUAACCAAUUUAUUUGAGCAUAAGCUUGCGUGAGCUACAGCCCACUUCAGCAAACCCAACCCCACCGCACAUUGUCCAGUGUCUGUUGCCUCAGUUUCCUACCUUGCAGUGGGAAAGACCAAUGAAGAAAUGUCCCUCUAACACACCACUCCCGUCUCCCUGCAUGGCCCCCCACUCACAGCCGGCUGUCCUUGGUCAGCGAAGAGCUGGAGUUCAGAGGUGAGUUCAUGGCAUUUGCCUCCCACGGGGCAUGGGAGGGGGGACACUGAGCAACACCUCUGCGACUGGUGUGGAACUGAUCCAUGAAAUUGUUUUUAGUUGUUCACUUUAUGAAUAUAACUUCAUAAGCAAAGUUUUAUGAAUGAAACAACAUUCAUUCAUAAAACCGGUUACCCCAAUAACUGGCUAAUUGAGUUUCACUUUCAAUCCAAUUGCUGCUUAAAUCACUGAAACUUGCAACCUGCUUCAACACUGGAACUUCUGCUCCCUGUUUGCCGUUCCUUACACGUGUCCAUAUUGUACCUCAAACUCCAUUUUAACUUGUCCCAAACUCCAUUGUAAAAUGCUCACUCCGUUUUGUAAAGGCUUGCUGCAACCUUCAUUUUUGCUAAACCCUGCUGUAAUCUGAUUAGUGUUGUUUAUAUGUGGGGAUGAGGGAUGGAUGGAUGAUGGAAUCAACCUCCAGCCCCAGCCUGUCCUGAUGAAAUAAAGUGUAAACACCAAGGGCUGAAGAUGCAGACAACAGCCCUGACAAAGCAAGAAGAGUCCACCCUCAAAAGAAAAGAACAAAAGUACAAUUGAAGAAACAUCAGAGCCAGGUCCCAGGCUGACAGUCACGUCUGCAAUUGACGGGGGAUCAGUCACACCGGACCCAGAGGCAGCCUGACACAGCAAGACCUGUAGACUCUGGAUUCAAACUGAAGCCUACGAAAAGGAUGGAUGAGAUGGAAGAUUUUGGAGGGUAACAUUCUGCUGCCAACAUGGAAGGGCAUCAGUGCAUGCCCAACAGAGACCCAGCUCUUCCUUGUGCCCGGCUUUCCUGGCCAGUUAGCCGCCACAAGCUACGAACCCAAGCUACAUUCAGGACUGGUAACUAUACUGCAGCUGCAGAACAUUUGGGGGAGUGUGUGGGAGGGGUGGGGGCGUGUGUGUGUGUGGGGGGGUGUGUGUAUACAUAGGUAUUAAGUAUUAGUUAUUGGUCAUAAAUCAAAUUGUGUGAUAGUAAACGUGGCAUCUUGUCUUGUCCCCUGAAACGACCCUGUGCGGUUUUGUCUGUGUAACGCUGACUCACAGCUUCGGUGUCUCCCUGCUGCUCUCCCAUCCUCACAGCCUCCAGUUCCACCACUUCAGCCACUGCUCAGCCACUUCAGCCUUAGGCAGCAAUAAAUCACACUCAGAAACCCCCAGCCCAGCACUCGCACUGAAGUCUAACCAGCUCCCUCCCCGAGAAACCCUUCACUGAUGACACACAGCCCAGCUGGCCUCAGCACCCCUACCCCUGCUGAGUGAGUGAGCCCGGGCAGGGGCAGCAGCUCCAUCAGGGCAGGUCUGCUGCCCAUCACUGGACAAUCGGGGUAACAAUAUCCCAGUACCCUGGCACCCAGUACUGCAGAGCUUUGCAGCCCCAAACCAACCAAACAUGACCAUUCUGGUGAAGCAGCCCCACCUGUUGCACCCAGGCAGAAUCGGUGCAUCUGUGCAAACACCAUCUGCUCCUGAAGUCCUCCCUCAGCUCAUCCCUAGGGGCCAGGGGAGAGCUCAGUCACACCCCGCUGACGCAGGGUCAGCUAAACCCUUGGACUUCUAAAUCCUGACUAAACCCAGGAUUCACAUGCUGCAGGGGAGUGAGGGAGCAGCAGGAACUGCCAGUGCCUGCAGGGGGCAGGGAGCCACCCUCAGCAGUGGGGCACCCCUCUGCCGUGGGGUAGGGGAGUGCAAUGGGGGAGCAAUGGCACAACGGGGUGACUGGGCCCGGGAAGGGAGAAGUGAUCUGCUGGGUGUGGCUCUAAGUGGCUGGAUAGGUGAGUCCCCUGGGCCCGGGGCCAGGCCAGUACAGGCAGUGCCGCCCCUGGCCCAGUUGCCCCCCCACCCCAAGUUCACAGUGCCUUUAGGCAAUGCAUUGGGCUAGCCACGGCGGCCUGAUUUCCACAGACACCCCCACACACCGCAGUGUGAAUCAGGAGUGAUUUCCUGGCAUCCCAUGUAGCAGGGGCAGGGAGCAGGGAGUCAGGUCUGGGGUCUCUUGCAGGAGUGUAGGUGGUUAGGUGGUGUGACGUUAUUGACAUGAACUGGGACCGUAUAGAUCAUUUUUGCAACCAAAGUCCUGUAGUGGCACCAAAUCUAUAAAGGGGGUUAAAUAGGGUGUCUAAGACAAGGUUAUGGUUUGCUGGUUAUGAUUAUGCUGUCUGUGUGUAAAAAGAAAAGGAGGACUUGUGGCAUCUUAGAGAGUAACAAAUUUAUUUGAGCAUAAGCUUUCGUGAGCUACAGCUCACUUCAUCGGAUGCAUUCAGUGCAUUAACACGGCUGCUACUCUGAAACCUGUCUGUAUGUGUGUCUCAUUUUUGUAGUUGAAGUUAUGAAUAUUGGCUCUGUACUGUCUGUAUUUCAAACUUCUGCUCUGCUUCUGCGUGACACCCAGACAAGUUGGUGUCAGCUCUGCCUAGCCUGCUGGGUGGCCCAUUAAGGACCAUCCGCUACACAACUGACCCAUUGUGAGAAGGGAGACACGCCUUGGGACUCAGCCAGGUAUGCUGGGACUUGCCAUGUGACUCCAAACUCCAUUUUGCUGUAAUUUUCCACGGUAAGAACAAAGAGGGGUUCUUACACCUGGAGGAGACUAUAAAAGGCUGAUGCCUCAUCUCCAUCUGGUCUUCAGUCCUGCUUCUUACCUCUGGAGGGACUUUGCUACAGACUGAAGCUCUAAGCAAAGGACUGAAGGACCCAUCCCAGCUGGGGAUGUUCUCCAGAGACUUGAUUUGAACCUGCCGUUUAUUCCCUCACUGCUGCAAGCCUGAACCAAGAACUUGGCCGUCACUGUCUGUCAUUGAUUCCAUUGAACCCAUUCUAGCUCUCAUCUCUAUCCUUUUCCUUUUCUGGAUAAACCUUUAGAUUUUAGAUUCGAAAA